AUUGAACGCUGGCGGCAUGCCUUACACAUGCAAGUCGAACGGCAGCACGGGAGCAAUCCUGGUGGCGAGUGGCGAACGGGUGAGUAAUACAUCGGAACGUGCCCAGUUGUGGGGGAUAGCCCGGCGAAAGCCGGAUUAAUACCGCAUACGACCUACGGGUGAAAGCGGGGGAUCGCAAGACCUCGCGCUAUUGGAGCGGCCGAUGUCGGAUUAGCUAGUUGGUGGGGUAAAAGCCUACCAAGGCUACGAUCCGUAGCGGGUCUGAGAGGACGACCAGCCACACUGGGACUGAGACACGGCCCAGACUCCUACGGGAGGCAGCAGUGGGGAAUUUUGGACAAUGGGCGCAAGCCUGAUCCAGCCAUGCCGCGUGCGGGAAGAAGGCCUUCGGGUUGUAAACCGCUUUUGUCAGGGAAGAAACGGUUUGGGCUAAUCCCCCGAACUAAUGACGGUACCUGAAGAAUAAGCACCGGCUAACUACGUGCCAGCCGCCGCCGUAACAC
rnacentral:rRNA from 1 species